UUAUUAUUUAUAUUUUUUUUUUUUUUUUUUUUUUUUUUUGGAGUUUAUGGCCUGGUAUCUAGACCUUUAAGCCAAGUCUUGAGUAUUUUUAUUCGAUUUAUUAUAAUUUCCUCACUGUAUUUUUGAUGAAUUUAUAUAGAGGUACGUAAUAAGAUCUAUUUUUUAGCAUAUCACUCAGGCGGCGGGAGGGAUCUUGCACUGUCACUUGAUUUUGCACUAUGUCACUAAUUUCACUGACAAGAAUCAAUCUAUCUAACGAAAAGCGCUCACAUGUAAAUAUGAAAUGUUCGAUAUCACCAACUGAAUUAUUACAAAAGGUGCAGUAGCUACUCUCCACUAUGCCCAACCGAGCCAGGUGGGCCGGGACAGUGGAGUGACCAAAACGCAGUCUGUUUAUAGUCGUAAUAAAGUCCCGACUGGCCAUUUUCAGUUUGUAAUACCAUGGUGCUACAGGUAGAUUUACUUGAACAUUUCCAUACCAUUUACCCUUCUGUUCUUGAUCUUGUUUCCAAAAUUCGACCCAUAAGCUAUUGACAUGAUUGUCAAUAGAUUGAUAACAGUCGGUCAAAGGUACUUUUACUAUGGAACUAACGUCCAACAUGUUGAUUCCAUCACGUGCAAUUUCAUCUACUAUCUCAUUUCCUGUUAUGCCCCUAUGUGAUGGAAUCCACAUGAAAGAGACCUGUAUACCCUUUUGUGCAUAACUAAAUAACAAUUUUUUAAUAUUAUACAAAAUAUAGUUUUUUUUAAAGUCGAAUCUGAGAUUGGUUAAACUUUGGACCAUACUUAAACUGUCUGUUAAAAUUAAAAAAUUGUUAGAACUAUUUAUACGUGUGAUCCUCUUCAGGGCCUCGAGGGCCGCAUAUACCUCUGCAGUGAAAACACUGCAUUUGGGGUCCAGAAGAAAACUUUGACCAAACUUGGAUUGGGGAUCAUAAACAGCACUACGCACAAAGAACUCACUUUUGCUACCAUCUGUAUACAAAGUAUAGUAGUUAUUGUCGGAAAGAAAACUUAAUAGUUCACAAUUAUUAAAAAUUUUUUUAGUUACAAUAUUAGUUUCAAAUAUAAUACAGGAAUAUGGGUAUGAGUAGCAUGUCCACUUUAAUUGUUUAAUUACAUUUUUAAAAUCUUCAUUCAUUUGCAUUACAAUGAGAGGCAGAACUGGGAAAUAACCUCGUAAGAGCUCACCUCCCGAAAUCUGCUGGACCGGGCAUUGUACAGGAAAAGAUCUGACAAGAGAGAGAUGAAGCUGUCAGCACAACUUCGCCCUCUCCGGAAGCCAUAUUGAACAUGUGGAAUGAUGUUGUUUGCCUCUACAUAAUACUCAAGACGCAUUUUUAUCAUGUUUUCAUUAAGCUUUCCAACACAAGAUGACAAUGAUAUAGGACGAUAUGAGUUAGGAUCUUCAGGUGGCUUGUCAAGCUUAAGUAUAGGGAUUACACACUGUGUUUUCCAAGAUUCAGGAAUUUUGUUUAAGUGCCAAAGAGCGUUAAGAUUAGCUAAUAGUUUCUUUUGAACGGACUGAUUUAGGUUUUUAAUCAAAAUGUAUGGACAAUCAUCUAAACCAGGGGUUGUGUUUCGUCUGGAUUGUAAACUUGUACAAAACUCACUCCAAGUAAAGGGUUCUAUGAGGAAACUGGACUUUUGAAGGCUAUUAUUAAUAAGAAAAUAACUUUCUAGAUUAUCAAUAACCCUACAUCCCUUUUGAGAUAAUUUUUCUAAGAGAGGGACAACAAAUUCAUCUUUAUAUGUUCUAUUAUUGCAUUUUAUUCGUUUAAAUAACUUGAUGUAUUUCCAAAUAAUACUAACAGGUGUAGUUCUGUUAAAAGUAUUACAGAUAUUCGCCCAACCAUUGCGUUUAUGUUCUGAAAUAGUCUUUUUCUUAACAGCAACAAGUCUUUUGUAAUUAAUGUAAUUAUCAAUGGUUGGGUCCCUUCUGUACAGUUUUAAAGCUUCAUAAGUUUUAAUAACAUUCUGUUCACAUGUGUCACUCCACCAAGGUGCUGGAGGUUUGCAACGAUAGUUAUUUGUUUUGACAAACUUUGGCACAGUAUCCCUCUUAAGUGUAUCAAGCCUUUCGAUAAAUUCGUCAUAAGACUGUAAUGGAUUCUCAUUAUUAACUUCAAAAUUAGAAAAAGCAGUUAUAGAUAGCUCAUUGUAUUUCGUCCAAUCUGUCUUGUUGUAUAAGAAUUUUUCAAUGGGAGGAUUAAUUUGAUAUCUAUCAACAGACAAUAAAACACGAGUAAGCGUAGGAAAAUGAUAGCUCCCCAUACAAUCAUCAUGCACCCACCAUUCGCAUAGUGGAGUGAUUGCAGCACUACAAAAGCUAACAUCAAUAGCUGAUGGAUUUCGGUUAGGAUAAUUAAUAGUAGUGAAGCUACCAUUAUUAAGGACACAUAGAUCAAAUUCAUCAAUUAAAUCGUAUAACUGGUGACCCCGACUUUUCGUGGUCAUACACCCAAAUGCAACAUGGUGAGCAUUGAAAUCACCAGCCACAUAUAUUGGCUUAGGCAAAUUUCUAAUUAUAUCACGUAGUUUACUUAUUCUGAAGUUACCAUUCGAGGGAGGGCAAUAUACACAUAAAAUCGUUAAUUGGUUACCACUUACAUAUAAUGAUAACGCCACAGUCUGAAUGUCUUGGUAAAAUCUGGUUUGAAUAAUAUUAUAUUUAAAAUACGGUUUGAUCAAAAUUGCUACUCCACCGUGCUCAUUUUGUGCAUUAUGAUAGUGGGAAUUAUAUCCCGAAAUUUUAAGAUGCUGAGUAUCUUUCAGCCAAGUUUCAUUAAGUAAACAGAUAUCAACAUUUUGCUCAACUAAAAAUUUAGACAAUAAGGGUUUUUUACUAUAUAUACUUUGAAUAUUGUACUGAGCUAUACAUAACUGCUGAAUGUUCUGUACUGCACUGUCCAUUAAUGUGACAGAUUUUUUAAAAGUAAGUCUUUAAUGAGCAGUGUAGUCACAGGUUCAUUAUCUGUUUUAUUACCCAAUUCCACUAAAGUUUGGACCAUUGCCAUUAGAAUAUUAUUAUUGUUUGCAAUUUGAGCCUUAAGUUGAGUUUGGUUCAAGUUGGGUUCAGGCACUGUUUUAUUUACAUUAUUUACAAUUUUUACAUUUUUAUUUGAUUUAUGUAUAUUUUGGCUUAUUGAUGGUAGGGUCUUAACAAUGCUGCUCGACUGUGCAGGUAAAGAUGGAAAAUCAGAUGACGUAAGUGUAUUAGCCACAGAGGCAUAAGUAAUUUUACCCUUUUUUUCAAGUAUUUUUUUCAUUUUUAUUGGGCAAGAUUUGGAAAUGGCCAGGUGAGGGCCACUGCAAUUGACACAACACAGGUUCUCUUUUUGAUCGCAAUCUCUGAAAUUAUGUUCUCCGGCACAUAUUGAGCAACGUUGUUUACCGUUACAAAUUUUCGCAGGAUGGUUGAACUUGAAGCACCGGAAGCAUUGCUGCAACGGCGGGACAUAUUCAAACACCCUGAACGAAAAUAGGUCAUAUUGGAUGUUGUCAGGCAGAACAUUUGACAAGAAAGUUAUACUGACAGUUUCGAGACCUACAGUACUUUGACCGACUUUUUUCGUGAAUCUUCGCACUGAAAUAAUUUCAUAGAUCGAAGACAGUUUAGUAUAUAAAUCCUUGUUCGAAAUGUUGGUAGGCACAUAUCGGAUGAUUCCAAUUUUUUCUAUCUGCGCUGCAGGAAUGUGCGCCUUUAAGUUGUGCUUUGUUAAAAAGUCUGUAUUUGUGAUAAAAUUAUUUGCAGUGUUGUAUUGUUUAAAAACAGCCGCAAUUUUAUUCGCAUUGACUCUAUGUAAAGCUACCACACCUUUCACCUCCGAAGUAAAAAUAUGAUUUAAGUAAACUGGGCUUUUAUUUCCAAGUUUAACCUGUUGGUCCUUGCUUUCUACAAAAACUUUGAAGUCCGUAUUUGUACAAUGUUCAGGAUAAAGUCUCAGAUAACCUGGCUUAAAAAACGGAAUAAAGUCAUCCUCACCGCCGCCUACUUCAG
rnacentral:misc_RNA from 1 species